rnacentral:rRNA from 1 species
CCUACGGGAGGCAGCAGUGGGGAAUAUUGGACAAUGGGGGCAACCCUGAUCCAGCCAUGCCGCGUGUGUGAAGAAGGCCCUCGGGUUGUAAAGCACUUUCAGUGAGGAAGAACGCCUGGUGGUUAAUACCCAUCAGGAAAGACAUCACUCACAGAAGAAGCACCGGCUAACUCCGUGCCAGCAGCCGCGGUAAUACGGAGGGUGCGAGCGUUAAUCGGAAUUACUGGGCGUAAAGCGCGCGUAGGUGGCUUGAUAAGCCGGUUGUGAAAGCCCCGGGCUCAACCUGGGAACGGCAUCCGGAACUGUCAAGCUAGAGUGCAGGAGAGGAAGGUAGAAUUCCCGGUGUAGCGGUGAAAGGCGUAGAGAUCGGGAGGAAUACCAGUGGCGAAGGCGGCCUUCUGGACUGACACUGACACUGAGGUGCGAAAGCGUGGGUAGCAAACAGGAUUAGAUACCCUUGUAGUC